AAAAUUGCGUUUAACUAUUCUAUGAUUUAACGCAUUUUUUAUUUUAUCUUAUUAUUGUUGGCUUAAUGGACCAGCAUCAUACCCUUUGGCGGGAGGUGAUGUUGGGCCGAAUCAUAUUCGAAAUGGCGUAAGACUGGGUAGGUCGAGUCAUGUUCGAAAUUGCGUGAGGCUGGUUAGGUUGAGUUACAAUCGAGAUCCGUGACCCGUGAGUGCUGUAUCUAUACGUUUUAAGUGAAUUGAUUGUGUUUCUAAUAUCUCAAUCUUUUGGGAUUAAUAGUUAACGCCAACAAUCCGACAAUUACUCUAAUUUAAAGCAAAUAAAAGUAAAGU
rnacentral:lncRNA from 1 species